rnacentral:rRNA from 1 species
AUCCAGACUUUGAUUAUGGCUCAGGACGAACGCUGGCGGCGUGCCUAACACAUGCAAGUCGAACGGAGCUCCGCCCUUCGGGACGGAACUUAGUGGCGAACGGGUGAGUAGCGCGUGAAGAACCUGCCUUCCAGUGGGGGACAACAGUUGGAAACGACUGCUAAUACCGCAUGAUACUUUUGAGGGGCAUCCCUUGAAAGUCAAAGCUUUAAGUGCUGGAAGAUGGCUUCGCGUCUGAUUAGCUAGUUGGUGGGGUAACGGCACACCAAGGCGACGAUCAGUAGCCGGUCUGAGAGGAUGAACGGCCACAUUGGGACUGAGAUACGGCCCAGACUCCUACGGGAGGCAGCAGUGGGGAAUAUUGGGCAAUGGGCGAAAGCCUGACCCAGCAACGCCGCGUGAAGGAAGAAGGCCUUCGGGUUGUAAACUUCUUUUACCAGGGACGAAGGACGUGACGGUACCUGGAGAAAAAGCAACGGCUAACUACGUGCCAGCAGCCGCGGUAAUACGUAGGUUGCAAGCGUUGUCCGGAUUUACUGGGUGUAAAGGGCGUGUAGGCGGAGGCGCAAGUUGGGAGUGAAAUCUAUGGGCUCAACCCAUAAACUGCUCUCAAAACUGUGUCCCUUGAGUAUCGGAGAGGCAAGCGGAAUUCCUAGUGUAGCGGUGAAAUGCGUAGAUAUUAGGAGGAACACCAGUGGCGAAGGCGGCUUGCUGGACGACAACUGACGCUGAGGCGCGAAAGCGUGGGGAGCAAACAGGAUUAGAUACCCUGGUAGUCCACGCUGUAAACGAUGAAUACUAGGUGUGGGAGGACUGACCCCUUCCGUGCCGCAGUUAACACAAUAAGUAUUCCACCUGGGGAGUACGACCGCAAGGUUGCAACUCAAAUGAAUUGACGGA